GCAUAUGCUUAAACUCUUUUCUGAGUUAAAACCCAGGAACGAGGCAUCUUCACAGUCAGUGGAAUUAGGUAGCAUAAUUAUAAUAAUCCAGCGUAAAAGGGAAGAGUCAGACCCAAAGUUCUGCUCCAGAAGAGAGAGGAGAGAAAAACAGAGCAGAGAAGGGAAAAGCUUUUAUAUGUAUUCUCCAGUGUAAGAUCUAGGGAACAAGAAAGCAGCAGGUGUCAGACUAAGACAACUAAAGACGCUACGUCCCAUAACCAAAUUAAGCUGCAAGUUUGAUAAAUUCCUGGAGUGGGAGAAGAGAGAUGGACAAAAUUAGCGUCUGUUGACAGACAAAGUUAUCACUGAUUACCUUAGUGAUGUUCAAUUGCUAUAUUUUUCCUUAGAUGCAGAGCUUGUAGAGCCUUCCCUGCUGUUGAAGAUUGCUGUUUUCACAGUCAUAAGUGGUUCAGGAGACAAGGUCACUACACAAGCACCAAGUCCAUCCAGGAGACAGGCCCAAAGACACAAGCUGUAGACAAGCAGUAAAAUACUUCCAUAGCAUCUAUCCAGCACACCAGGAUGCAGUGCAGCAGGACACAAGGCCCAUCUUGGAGGUAGGACAGGAUAGCUGAACACAGCUCAGGAAAGACCUGAAAAGGAGUCCCUUCAUUCAGGGGCAGGGGUGUGGGUGAGACCCCAGGUGAAGUGGGAGGGUAUAGGCCUUUGGGUGCCCUCAAGGCCUGACAACUAUCGACACGAAAAGGAUGUCAGUAAAAGUUUACUUUCAGCUUGUCCGUGGUUUUUGAGGAGUCCUGGCCCACUGGUAAGGACAAGUUUUCACAAGUCACUGCACUAGUCACAUGCCUUUAAUGCCAGACAGUAACACUUCACAUCUACUUUUCUCAUAGAACACAGAACAGGUGAAGGGGUGGAGCACCCUUACUCAUUUAUUUUUUUUUUUCCUACAGUUUAUUUCAAAGCAUAUGAAGAAAUUUGUGUAAGAGAAUAUGUAAAAGUGAGUCCUGGUUUAAACUGUUCUAACCUUCACUUACACUAAGUUCAUAUGCAGUCAUAAACAACGGUGCAGUGGAACUGCCAGGUCACAGCCUGAACCAAUGGUUGAACACCAGGUAAGAAGCUCCCAGAAGCUCAAGUGCAAGCAAUGCAGCUGAAUGACCAGAAGGGGUGGAGCCUGGAUCCACCCCUCCUCACCCUCAUUUAAGAGUUAGCAACCGAGGUAGUAACUUCUCUCCAAACAGAUGGCACUUCUCUUGAGCCAUGAGUUGUUGGAAGAGAUGGUAACACUGAGAAGUUCCUUGAAUUGCCCAGUGUCACAAAACCGUGAUAGAGCUGAGAACUGAAGUUCUGUGUCUAGAUCUCCCAGGAGAAAGGAAAGAGCAGUGAUCUGGUCUGUGGGAGCCUCAGGCACAGUGGUUAAUGCCUGACUGAUUGGUGGAUCUUUGGGAACACAAAGGAUGUGUGACUUUUGGAGAUAGCUCCAGACAAAUGCGUGCCAAGGAGAACUAAUGGUCAACAAGUGACUAACAAAAUUAAUAAAAACCUGGUACUUGCUGCCAUUUAAGACUACACUGAAGACAUUCCCCAUCAGCCUACUUCUGAUGUCUCAAACAUACCGUGGGAUUUCUCUACCUGGGAGGAGAGAGAGGAAUACAGCACUCCAGUCUUUAUGUGGAAAAUGAUAAGCUAUACAGAAAUAUGAGUAUUAAAUGAAUGAAGAGACACUUACAAAGAGAAGUUAGCUGUCAAGAUAUUAAAAAAAAAAAAAAAAGCAACAAAAAAUGUCAGUGACAUUUAAAGAGAGAAUCUACUCAGCUUGGCAUUGCAGACUAGCAGCUUGGAAAUGACAGCUAGUGAGAUGUUUUAUAACAUAAAGAAACGUACCCUUUGGCACCACAUAUAUUAUUGAUCUUCAGGUAUAAAGUGGGGAGACCAAAAAAUACAGAUUAGAAAAAAAACUCUAAGGAAAUCUAAAUUUCCGUUUUUAUAAAAAACGCAAUUGCAGUUUUCUACUUGCGAACAGCAUUUCUGACACAGCACCUUCAGAACUGCUGCCACUCAACAAGAUGUUGUUAUGCACUGGGAAUUCUCACAGGCCUCAGCUGAUGUCGGCGCUAAAUGGAAAAUCCAGUGAAUAAUGGAAACUAUAAAGAAGUUUUUUUUCAACGUACAAAAAAGUAUCCUCAGAAAAAAAAGGUCUCCCAGAGAACAAUAGUGUGGUGUAAAAGCUUCAGAAACCUUACUACCCUGCAAGGAUACAUGGGGAAAUUCAUGUACAAUGCUAACAGACAUAACCAGAUUGAGCUCUAAAAUAAAAUGAAUCUAAAAGAGCAGCUACCACAGCUCUUGGUGGCCUACCAGUAAUAUGCAAGAGUUGGAAGACAGCAAAAAACACAUGGAAAUAAUUUCUGAAAUGAUUAUUACAAGGUGUGACCCAAUAUGCAAUUACAUAAUUCUGUACCUAUCUAACUUACUGAAAUGUGACUGCUUAUGGGGUAGUGUGAGAAUGUUGUGUGUGUGUAGUGGAAAUGCUGAGUCACAGCUUAAAGCAAUGGUUGAGCACCUGGUGGGAAGGCAGGACCGACCCAGGGGAGCUCAGGUGCAUGCAAUGUACCUGAAUGACUGGAAGAUCCUGGAUCCAGCCCUUACCAGACCUCAUUUGAGGGCUGGCAGCAGAGGUGAGGGUGUUUCAUCUGGAGCUCUCUGCAUACUUUUGAGGGCUUUAUAGGCCUUCUAAAGGUAAGCAGCUUCUUUCUCUUAUUUCUGUGCCUACUGUUAUUUCAUCUGAGCAGAUCCUCACUUGCUACAGCCUAAGACCUUGCUGCCUUUCCAUCUUGUUAUGCCUUCUAUUAUAUUACAGCAUGCCUUGCUUUUUGUUUAAGAAAUCACAAGCAACUGCCUUCCCCCCCCCGAUAAACCCACACCUUGCAUAAUUCAUUUCUAGCUUAGUAUUGCACUCAGAAAAGAUAAAAAGACACUGCUUGUAUGUUAGUUUAGAAAAGGUGAAGAAUUUCAAUGUAGGCAUGUAAAAUUGUAUGUCUUACUCAACAAUACAUCAUCUGACUUUUCCAUCAACUUUAUCCUAUGUGGUUGAGGUAAAUUAGACAUGAAAAAACAAAAUCUACGCUUUUAAAGUCAGCUGUUAAAAGUUUCCAUGAAAUUAUUGCCUUACCUGGAAAUGUGUCGCCUCAUUAGAAAUAUGUCUGCUGCAUAAAUAUGAACCUAGAAUCUGGUUCCCAUUCUCAGAAACAAUUUUCAUGUGAUAGUGGGGAACACAGACUAAAAAUAGUCUCCGGCACAAAAUUAAUAGCAUUCAUUACUUUUCAUUGUCUUUUCAUGAAUGAUUUCAGAGGUACUCCAAGUGUUGUUACAUUUAAAUUAAAAAUUAAGUGUACGUAGUUACUACCCGUUAUGUAAAUUCACUAUGAUUGCUUUGUUUACUUAAGAACCUUUUUAACAAUAUGGUUACAAUAGGCUAUCAAGUUGUAAAUGCUGGAGCUAUGAAUAAUUACUGUCAAACUGCACAGUGAAUUAUUAGACAUCUUACACCACUGCUGCUGUACAGUUUAUAUUUUGUCCUGGAAAUGCUGCCAGAAUUGAUGCUAACCAGAAAAUUAAUGAGAUCUCAGAAAGCAAAGUAAUAAACAAGAUAACAAAACAGACAUAUUAAGUAACUGUAUGGAUUAAGUCCCGUUUUUCAAACAUGAAUAUAUCUAAAAUUAGAAUUCUGCAUUCACAUUUGUGAACCUAAUUAGAAAUUAGCUGACCUGAAAAGAUACCAGAAAUGUACUGGUCCAAUGGGAACUGAUGUUCUCCCGUAUUAUGAAAACCCUGGCCUGCUCUGUUUGUGAGCUUACUGUUAACGCUUCACUCUUGAAAAUUUGAAUGCCUGCCUAUGGGUUCUUUUAAGCAUCUUUUACUGAACUUUGUUGCCUUUUUAUGGAACCUGAAUGUUUGCCAUUUUGUUUUCCAAAGCUCCCUUCCUUUAUAGGUUCUUAACUUGAAGACAUUUCCCGCUUCAGGAAAUUUUCAUAUUGUAUCUUCUACACUGACAGCACACUGCUAGGGUUCUGGAAAUCAGCUGUGUUAUUAAAUGAUUAUUUUUGUAUGAGGUCAUGAUAAUUACCAUUCCUAAUGCCUUGCAUACCCUAAUACCUUCAGGCUGGUAAUCUUUAGCAUGUCUUCUUCCAGUAAAUGUUAAGAAGCUUAUGCUUGAGAGUUUCAAACAACUUGGAGGACAAGACACAACCCUGUUGCAUUUCCAGCCUCACUUUAAACCAGCACGCUUUUUCAGUUUCAGUUCUCAUAUGUUAUCGUUCUUUCAUAUAUAUCCAAUCUUUAUAGGAAGUCUGCAGGGUUCCAUCAAUUCUCAGGCACAGCCUUUCCACAGUGAAUAAUACACUUCUUUAAAUUCCAAGAAGACCCUACCAACCUAUUAUUUCCAUACUCCCAGCCCUAUUUGUUUAUUCGUCUCAGCAAGAUCAUCUGAAAAGCGUAAGCAACCUCUUCUGCAGCCAGAUACACUUUCUUUCAGCUUGUAAGAGCCGUAAGAGCACCCAGGAGGCAUAUUCAAUAGAUUGAUGCUAUUUGAAUACACAUACAGAUUUCUGCUCCCCUUUUUGAGCACCAAGAGAAUCGCUACUACCUCACUCGUCUUUCCUCAUUAUAGGUACAUUUGAUUUGUCCACACUGGCAUUAUGCUAAGUAAUGCCACUUCAUUUACCUCCAUAUACAUUAUUUCAACUAAUAUAUCUUCCAUUUGCCACUGGCUCUCUGUUCUUUAGUUCCAAAUUGUUUUUAGCCUUUUGCUCUACUAGUUCUUUUUAGCUUAUUAUUGAUAGCUAACAGUUCCAGUCUACCUGCUACAAAACCUCUUUCAGCCCCAAACCAAACCUGGUCUCUCAAUGCAGGUUUCCAGUUCAUCUCAGUGACUCGCCAGUACAAAACAGGGAUUUUCAGCAUUUACUCACUCUUCUCAAUCCUGAAAAUCUCACAAACCAGUCACUCGCAAAAGCACUGGUCCCAGCCUAAUGUCCAAGAAAAAUGCAAUUUACUUCAGGGAAACUGUUUUGUUAUGAAAUUCUAUUAGUUCCUGAAGGCAUCUAAAUAUCAAAGCAAACAAAUGAGGAUCAGCAGGCUUUGAGAAUGCUUCCUGCCACACAAAACCUCCAACACUCCCUCCCUUCCCCAUUAAGGCUCUGCAGGCAAUUGGGAAUACAGGUAAGCUGACAGCAGGGAUCUUAAAAUUUUGAUCCAAGCAGAUAGCGCUUUUAAGGAGGGAGAUUGUAACUGUUAGUUGCAGGAUGUAUUUUUGUAGUGAUUGUCCAGCAUGGCCACGGCCACGCUGCAUUUAAACUGAUGCAACUGUAUUUGACUACAGUCAAGCCAUGCCCCUGGACAAUGCCUGAGCUGGUAAAGAGAGCAGAGAAACUUCUGCUGCUGGUAUACGCCUCUAAAGAAAGCAUUUUCCCCAAGUAUGUGUUUGAAGUGCUUUGUAAAUACAAAUAAUCAUGGCAUUCAUUGUGACUAACCUCCAAUUCUAACUUCCAAUCUAAACUUGAAAAACUGAAGAUCCUUAUGGGUCCCUUUGGACUCAGGAUAUGUUACGAUUCACUGUUGCAGGCAGACAUCUGAGCAGGCUGGUUUUGCAACAGGAGGGCUGGUACCCUCUCUUGCCUUCUUCCUCUGUCACUCACGAACCUGUGCUGGUUUGGCAGAAAGCCCAGCAAGCGGGCAGAGUGAACUACUGGAGGAAAAAGUGGCAACGUAUUUUGAAAUGUAAAGAGUGGAUGAGCUGGAGUUCAUUUCAUCAUCCUGCUAGGACACUCUGUGCAUUCUCUUGAUCUUACUUCAUGCAAAACUGAACAAACUCUGCAACAGAAUCUGUCAGCUGAAACAAACCGUGUCAAUGACAUCUGCAUAAAAGAACCCAAGAAUUCAAAGCAAUGUACUUCUGUGGGGACAGCACAUAGAGCUUCAGCUGGAGCCAUCUCCCCAUGUCAGCAUCGUGCUCUGCUGACUGUGCUCUUAGCACACAGGAUUCUGGGUUCACAAGCAGAGAGAUCUUACGGCUGUUGGUACCAAGUGCAGAAGCGUGUGCAGCUUACAGCCAAUGUGUACAGCCUCGUAGCCCAAAUCUUUUGUCUAGUUUCUACCAAAGCAGUGGGCUAAAGACUACUGCAGCUGCAUUUCCUUCAGGAGAUGUUCCUGCAUGUGACAAGAAUUCAGCUGUCACAGUGAGAUGCUGUAACUCCAUGUAUAAUUUUGGGUAGUAUAGGCUGAUGCAGAGUCCAUAGUCUCCAAAAUUUGUCUUCUAUCUUUGCUUUGUAUUGCAAUCUCUCUUGUAAAGCACAAGUGUGGUCACAGUAUGAAACAAAUAAAGGACUGAA